CAGUAGCCGCGGGAAUACGAAGGGGGCUAGCGUUGUUCGGAUUUACUGGGCGUAAAGCGCACGUAGGCGGAUCGAUCAGUCAGGGGUGAAAUCCCAGAGCUCAACUCUGGAACUGCCUUUGAUACUGUCGAUCUGGAGUAUGGAAGAGGUGAGUGGAAUUCCGAGUGUAGAGGUGAAAUUCGUAGAUAUUCGGAGGAACACCAGUGGCGAAGGCGGCUCACUGGUCCAUUACUGACGCUGAGGUGCGAAAGCGUGGGAGCAAACAGGAUUAGAUACCCCCGUAGUCCCUGUCUCUUAUACC
rnacentral:rRNA from 1 species